rnacentral:rRNA from 1 species
AGCAGCCGCGGUAAUUCCAGCUCCAAUAGCGUAUAUUAAAGUUGUUGCAGUUAAAAAGCUCGUAGUUGAAUUUCGGGAUCAAUUUAUUGGUCGUGCUAUCGUACGUACUGGUAUUAUUGAUUCCUACCUUCUGACGAACCAUGAUGUCAUUAAUUUGGUGUCAUGGGGAAUCAGGACUGUUACUUUGAAAAAAUUAGAGUGUUUAAAGCAGGCUCACGCUUGAAUACAUUAGCAUGGAAUAACGAAAUAGGACGUUUGAUUCUAUUUUGUUGGUUUCUAGGAUCGACGUAAUGAUUAAUAGGGAUAGUUGGGGCAUUAGUAUUCAAUUGUCAGAGGUGAAAUUCUUGGAUUUAUUGAAGACUAACUACUGCGAAAGCAUUUGCCAAGGAUGUUUCAUUAAUCAAGAACGAAAGUUAGGGAUACGAAGACGAUCA